UAGCAUCGCUCGGCUUCUCGCGAUAUCGUAGAUGCAGUCGCUUGACCGCGCGAUUAGUAACUUAACCGGGAAUAGACGUGCAUAAUCCCUGAACAUUUAUCGUUUGUUGUGUUAUGCAGCAGAUCGGUUUACGACGAUGCCGCGGAUACAGUCCGCAAAGAUAAUACAGAGGACAUCCGGCAAAUUGUACUACAACUGACAGGUUGUAAAAUAUGAAGAGAACGUAAAUGAGAAUACUGCAGAGAAUGAAAUGGGGAUAAAUGACGCAUGUAAAACACACGUGCAACAUACAGGCUCUAUUCUCGUUGUUCAUUGGCCAUGCCAUCGAUUAAGUUUAUUAUAAAUACUAUUGUAUAAAUUUUCACGUCCAUCACGUAAAUAUAACGACAAAGAAGAAUAACACAAAAAUAUUUCGUAUCUAGGUUGGAAGAAUAAAUUGUGAACCACUCUAUAUAUUUGCUCACGAAAUUCGAUAGAAUAUGAAAUGGAACUAUACACGUAAUCAUAUCGGAAUGCGAUAUAACGAAAUUAAUGAAUAAUUAAAUAAAUCAGCGACGGCUGACUGUAAAUAAUUUAAAUUAAAUUACAUGAAAAA